rnacentral:rRNA from 1 species
GAUGAACGCUGGCGGCGUGUCUAAGGCAUGCAAGUCGAACGGAUCGUUAUUUGUAGCAAUACUUAGAACGGUUAGUGGCAAACGGGUGCGUAACACAUUGGUAACCUGCCUCAAAGUCGGGCAUAAUCCCUCGAAAGGGGGACUAAUUCCACGAUGGUCAUCGAAGGUGAGAAUCCUUCGAUGUAAAGUCGCAAGACGCUUUGAGAGGGGCCUAUGGCCUAUCAGCUUGUUGGUGAGGUAACGGCUCACCAAGGCUAUGACGGGUAGGGGGUGUGAGAGCACGACCCCCCUCACUGGGACUGAGACACUGCCCAGACACCUACGGGUGGCUGCAGUCGAGAAUAUUCCCCAAUGGCCGAAAGGCUGAGGGAGCGACGCCGCGUGCAGGAAUAAGGCCUUCGGGUCGUAAACUGCUUUUGCCGAGGAAGAAUCAUGACGGUACUCGGAGAAUAAGAGGUUGCUAACUCUGUG